rnacentral:tRNA from 1 species
UCCCUAGUGGUCUAGUGGUUAAGACUCUGUCCUUCCAAUGCAGAGGACACAGGUUCAAUCCCUGUUGGGGAA